GAGCGGACAGAAGGGAGCUUGCUCCCGGAUGUUAGCGGCGGACGGGUGAGUAACACGUGGGUAACCUGCCUGUAAGACUGGGAUAACUCCGGGAAACCGGAGCUAAUACCGGAUAGUUCCUUGAACCGCAUGGUUCAAGGAUGAAAGACGGUUUCGGCUGUCACUUACAGAUGGACCCGCGGCGCAUUAGCUAGUUGGUGGGGUAAUGGCUCACCAAGGCGACGAUGCGUAGCCGACCUGAGAGGGUGAUCGGCCACACUGGGACUGAGACACGGCCCAGACUCCUACGGGAGGCAGCAGUAGGGAAUCUUCCGCAAUGGACGAAAGUCUGACGGAGCAACGCCGCGUGAGUGAUGAAGGUUUUCGGAUCGUAAAGCUCUGUUGUUAGGGAAGAACAAGUGCGAGAGUAACUGCUCGCACCUUGACGGUACCUAACCAGAAAGCCACGGCUAACUACGUGCCAGCAGCCGCGGUAAUACGUAGGUGGCAAGCGUUGUCCGGAAUUAUUGGGCGUAAAGGGCUCGCAGGCGGUUUCUUAAGUCUGAUGUGAAAGCCCCCGGCUCAACCGGGGAGGGUCAUUGGAAACUGGGAAACUUGAGUGCAGAAGAGGAGAGUGGAAUUCCACGUGUAGCGGUGAAAUGCGUAGAGAUGUGGAGGAACACCAGUGGCGAAGGCGACUCUCUGGUCUGUAACUGACGCUGAGGAGCGAAAGCGUGGGGAGCGAACAGGAUUAGAUACCCUGGUAGUCCACGCCGUAAACGAUGAGUGCUAAGUGUUAGGGGGUUUCCGCCCCUUAGUGCUGCAGCUAACGCAUUAAGCACUCCGCCUGGGGAGUACGGUCGCAAGACUGAAACUCAAAGGAAUUGACGGGGGCCCGCACAAGCGGUGGAGCAUGUGGUUUAAUUCNAAGCAACGCGAAGAACCUUACCAGGUCUUGACAUCCUCUGACAACCCUAGAGAUAGGGCUUUCCCUUCGGGGACAGAGUGACAGGUGGUGCAUGGUUGUCGUCAACUCCUGUCGUGAGA
rnacentral:rRNA from 1 species